UUUUUAAAGGCCGUUUCUGAGACUUUUCAAACCAAAUUGCUUCCCUGACAUUGCAUACUUACCUAAUGGUGGUUCUUCCCUUCAAAUUUCAACCAAAAGAGCAAUAAUGAGCUUCGUGAGGACAAUGGCUAAACCUGACUGGAGGCUCCUGGGGCCCUAAUUCACAACCAAGGAGAGGCAACAGUCACGAUUCAAUAAGGGUGCUAGUACAAGGCACACGCCAGACAGAAAGGAGACAUCUUAUCUGUAUAAUCUACAGACGCUGCUUGAAAAAUCACACAUAAUUAAGCCCUUCUCACAGUGGAAGCUACUUGAAGCUUUAUCACCAGCUUGUAAGAUGUCAUCUCUGGGCUUCACUGAUGGCUCUGAGUGAACAUUUCCAAACCAGAGGCAUCUGACAAUCCGGGUGACGUGUUUACCAUGCCUACCUUAGUCAUCUAACUAAGAAGCUCUGCACUACAUAACUGAAGGAAAGCAGAAUGGCGGGGAUGGCCCUGCGGUGGCUUCCCACACUGGGUGUUCUGUUACAUUAAUCCUGGUGCAAGAAAUAAGACAUGACAGUCAUAUGCAUAUCUAUAUGCCACGCUUGCCUGUCCUCAACUGGCCCUCCCUGUACACAGGCACGCAUUUCCCUUGAGCAACAUCAGAUGAGAAAGCAAUCGCUUUUCCAUUGCAGGGGAAACAGAGAAACAGGAAACCCAGAGGCAACGACUUGCUUGGAGGCCUCCAAGAUGAGAAAAUGGAAGAAGCAAGAAGAUAAGUGACUUACCCAAGCUUCCACAAUUUGUAAGUGACAAAGCUGGGAUUCAAACCUAGGCUGUCUGGUUUCAGAGCUCACACUCUUACCCACCCUGGGAUGUUGACAGGGAAUUUGCAGAGUAAAAGGGGCAGCAACCUUAACGAACAAGUCAAGUCAAUAAUUACAAACCAUGGGCAGGACUAUGAUUGAAAAGAACAGGAAACAAGGGUUAAGAAUAAUAGAAACUGGCCUUCCCUGGUGGCACAGUGGUUAAGAAUCUGCCUGCCAAUGCAGGGGACACCGGUUCAAGCCCUGGUCCAGGAAGAUCCCACAAGCCACGGAGCAACAAAGCCCGUGCACCACAACUACUGAGCCUGCGCACUAGAGCCCGCGAGCCACAACUACAGAGCCCACGAGGCACAGCUACUGAAGCCCACGUGCCUAGAGCCCGUGCUCCACAAUGAGAGAAGCCACCGCAAUAAGAAGCUGGUGCACCGCAACGAAGAGUAGCCGCCGUUCACCACAACUAGAGAAAGCCCGCGUGCAGCAACAAAGACCCAACACAGCCAAAAAUUUAAAAAAAAAAAAAGAAUAAUAGAAACUGUUUUAGACAGGUUGCCAGAGAAGUCUUCUCUAGGUAGGGGAAAUUGCUUGAAGGAUGAAUAUGAUCAGACCAAAAAUGGCUGAGAGAAGAUUGUUCUCCAGAGAGAAGAGCGGACAGGUUAGUCUUGAGUCAGUACACAGACUGGUAUAUUUUAGGGACUGAAAAAUGGCCAUUGCUUCAGGAGGCCAAGAAGGUGAGUGUGUCUCUUGCUCAUCUCCAUAGGACAGGGGUUGGUCAACAGAUUUUUUGUAAAGCACCAAAUACUAAAUACCUUAAGCUUUGUCGGCUCUGUGGGCUCCGUCUCAAUUACUCAACUCUGAUGCUGCAGCAUGAAAGCAGCUGUACAUGGCUCUCAAUGGACUGGAUGACGCCCACCCACACUGGGGAGGGCGCACUGCUUUACAGAGUCCACUGAUUCAAAUGCUAAUUUCAUCAGGAAACACCUUCACAGCCAUUCCCAGAAAUAACAUUUAACCAACAUCUGGGCAACCCAUGAUCCAGUCAAGCUGACACACAAAAUUACCCAUUACAGUCUGCUGAAGAGGAGCACACGAUAAUGGUCACCCAGGAAGAAGAAGUAUUGGCACUGACAAAGAUAACGCAAAAGAAACGCUCCAUCGUUACAAACUAGUUAAUGGGUGUCAUCAUUCAAAGCGUAUUUGAGAUUCAUCACUGCCCUGGAAAGCUCAAAUUGCCUAAAAUCUUACAGGUCAUAUUAUAAACAACUGGACAGAUGUUUUCCCAAAUCUGACACAACAGUCCUAAAAAUUUACAUCACCUAACCAGGUAAUGUGUUGCAAAGCCAAAAGAAACUUUUCUAAAUUGACAACAACAAAUUUUGAUCAAUCCUGAUGGUGGAAAGAUUAAAUCUUCUUUCUAGUAGUCUCUCUAAAGAAAAUGAUAAUCCAAGAUCACUGUCAUAUUAACAGGUAAUCCAAGAGCGUGCAGCCAAAAUACAUAGGAAACGCACAUUACAGGGAAAGUCAGGUAGUUAAUAAAAUAUAAAGAUGUUAUUUGGAGGGUUUUGUGAUGUCAGUGCUAUUUUCAGCUUUAAAAAUUGGGUAAUUUGUAGUAUAUUCUUUUAUUCUAAAUAAAUACUAACUUUUAUAACAUUUUUCAUAACUUUUCUACAUCCUUUCUCUUAAAGCCCCCAAUUUUAUAACCUUCAAGGCUACCAACCUGGAACCAGCUCUGAUUAAGCAUCUAUUAUAGGAGCCAGGCAUCUCUAGAUGCUAGAAAUGUAACAUUGAAUGGAAUAGACACUGGUGGUUUUAAAAUGUCUACUAGAAUCUGAAAAAGAAUAUAUAUAUGUCUAACUGAAUCACUCUGCUCUACACCUGAAACACUGUAAAUCAACCGUACUUCAAUAAAAAAAAUUUUUUAAGUGUAAACACAUUGGGGGAAAAUAUUCUGUGACACUCCCCCUUCAAAAGGCAGAAGCCUCUCCCUUUGAGCUUAGGCUGGACCUCAUGACUUGUUUCUAAGGAGUAGAAUAUUAUGCAGGUGACACUGAGCAACACCCAAGCCCAGUCAGAAAACACACUGCGGUUUCCUCCUUGCUCUUUCCCUCUGGAAGGCAACGGCCGUGUCCUGAGAAUAUUCAAGCAGCAUUAUGGAAAAGUCCACAUGGGGAGGAACUGAGGCCUCCAGCCAGCAGCCCUGUGAGCUCCAUCUGAGAAGCGGAUCCUCCAACUCCAGUCAAGCCUUUAGAUGUUGGCGGCCUUGACCAACAUCCUGACUAUAUCGUGACUACUUACAAGAAACCUUGAGCCAGAGCCACCUGUCCAGACUGUUCUCAGUGAUUCCUGACCUCAGAAACGGUGUGAGAUAAGAAAUGUUUGUUAUUUUCAGCUGCUGAGUUUUGGGGUAGUUUGUUACACAGCAAGAGAGAAAUAAUACACCACCAAAAGUCCUGUUUUCAUGAUUCUUACAUUCCGAUGUUUGUUUAGGGGCAAUGAAUAAAUGUUGUUUGAGGAGAUGAUGAACGACAGUAAA